UUUGCUCACACUCUAGCCUGUUCAAAGGCGAGUCCUAACGACGUCAGCAAGCUGUCGUCACCAGGAUACCAAUGAGAAGCCAGGUGGAACAGCCCUAAAGGUAUUCGUUGCAAUCCUCAAUCCCGAACACCACAUUCCGCUAAAGGUUAUAACACUCCCGAAGGAGCCACGUCCCUCCAGCCUUUUUAUGACGUUCGAAAUUGAUGUUAACCAGCGGACACGAAAGUACUCCCUCUCAUCGGAGAUCACACGCUGUGGCGGUUUUGAGGCUCGCCACAGCAUGUGAUCU
rnacentral:rRNA from 1 species